GCAUGUGAGGGUGCUCUGGCUGUGACAUCUGUCACCCCAUUGAUUGCCAGGGAUGAAGCAGCUGAUCUGGCUAUGGAGGCUGGUGUCCCUUCCCCCCUCACCAGUCCGUUGCAUCCUUCCCAGAGCUGCGUGCUGUGUUCCUGGACAGAAGGCCUGCUCUCCAGUCAAGGUAACAGGAGUAACCCCCUCACACCCCCGCCCCCACCCCCUGACUCUGGAGUCUGGAAUUUCCAGACAAACUCAGA
ensembl:misc_RNA 7SK 7SK RNA